rnacentral:rRNA from 1 species
UACGAGUGCCUCAAGCGUUAUCCGGAAUCACUGGGCGUAAAGGGUGCGUAGGUUGUUUUAUUAGUCCGUGGUCAAAGCCUCCGGCUCAACCGGAGAUCCGCCAUGGAAACGGUAAAACUAGAGGAUGCAAGAGGUGAGCGGAACUCAUGGUGUAGGGGUGAAAUCCGUUGAUAUCAUGGGGAACACCAAAAGCGAAGGCAGCUCACUAGUGCACUCCUGACACUGAAGCACGAAAGCGUGGGGAGCGAAUGGG